AGAGUUUGAUCCUGGCUCAGAACGAACGCUGGCGGCAUGCCUAACACAUGCAAGUCGAACGAGACCUUCGGGUCUAGUGGCGCACGGGUGCGUAACGCGUGGGAAUCUGCCCUUUGCUUCGGAAUAACAGUUAGAAAUGACUGCUAAUACCGGAUGAUGUCUUCGGACCAAAGAUUUAUCGGCAAAGGAUGAGCCCGCGUAGGAUUAGGUAGUUGGUGGGGUAAAGGCCUACCAAGCCGACGAUCCUUAGCUGGUCUGAGAGGAUGAUCAGCCACACUGGGACUGAGACACGGCCCAGACUCCUACGGGAGGCAGCAGUGGGGAAUAUUGGACAAUGGGCGAAAGCCUGAUCCAGCAAUGCCGCGUGAGUGAUGAAGGCCUUCGGGUCGUAAAGCUCUUUUACCAGGGAUGAUAAUGACAGUACCUGGAGAAUAAGCUCCGGCUAACUCCGUGCCAGCAGCCGCGGUAAUACGGAGGGAGCUAGCGUUGUUCGGAAUUACUGGGCGUAAAGAGUACG
rnacentral:rRNA from 1 species